rnacentral:rRNA from 1 species
CCCUUAGAUGUUCUGGGCUGCACGUGCGCUACACUGAUGCAUUCAACGAGUUUCUUCCUGGUCCGAGAGGAAUGGGUAACCUUUUGAAAGUGCAUCGUGAUAGGGAUAGACUAUUGCAAUUAUUGGUCUUCAACGAGGAAUUCCUAGUAGACGUAGUUCAUCAGACUGCAUCGAUUACGUCCCUGCCCUUUGUACACACCGCCCGUCGCUCCUACCGAUUGAAUGCUCAGGUGAGCCAUUCGGACUUUCAUCAUGCUGGUUUCCAGUUUUGAUGAAGGAAAGUCUUGCGAACCUUAUCAUUUAGAGGAAGGAGAAGUCGUAACA